UAUAUCGGAACGUACCCUAGAGUGGGGGAUAACGUAGCGAAAGUUACGCUAAUACCGCAUACGAUCUACGGAUGAAAGCGGGGGAUCGCAAGACCUCGCGCUCAUGGAGCGGCCGAUACCUGAUUAGCUAGUUGGUAGGGUAAAAGCCUACCAAGGCAUCGAUCAGUAGCUGGUCUGAGAGGACGACCAGCCACACUGGGACUGAGACACGGCCCAG
rnacentral:rRNA from 1 species